CCUACGGGAGGCAGCAGUGGGGAAUAUUGGGCAAUGGGCGCAAGCCUGACCCAGCAACGCCGCGUGAAGGAAGAAGGCUUUCGGGUUGUAAACUUCUUUUCUCAGGGACGAAGCAAGUGACGGUACCUGAGGAAUAAGCCACGGCUAACUACGUGCCAGCAGCCGCGGUAAUACGUAGGUGGCAAGCGUUAUCCGGAUUGACUGGGUGUAAAGGGCGUGUAGGCGGGAAAGCAAGUCAGAUGUGAAAACCAUGGGCUCAACCUGUGGCCUGCAUUUGAAACUGUUUUUCUUGAGUACUGGGGAGGCAGACGGAAUUCCUAGUGUAGCGGUGAAAUGCGUAGAUAUUAGGAGGAACACCAGUGGCGAAGGCGGUCUGCUGGACAGCAACUGACGCUGAGGCGCGAAAGCGUGGGGAGCAAACAGGAUUAGAUACCCGGGUAGUC
rnacentral:rRNA from 1 species